AGCUCUGAGGCCUAAUAUAAUCAGAACUUUUAAACUAUGGUUUACAAGCCCACUUCUUUCUUAUAAGAAAGAAUCUGUCCAACCUUAUCUAGUUAUCCCUAAAUAUGUAAAAUAUGUACUAGUAUUAAUUGACUAAAUCUGUAUUAAUAGACAAGCAUACCAACAAUAAUUACUACCCCUAUGGAAUUACACUAAACUGAAUAGUAGUAAUUGGAAUAAAAUAGGGGUUAAACUAAGCAUUUGACAUGAUAGUGAGGAGAGGCGGACCACAAAUCACCAUAAUAGAAUCAUAGAGCAGUGAAGCUGGAAAGAUGUAUGAAAUCAUUUACUUCAACCCUAUGCCUGAUGAAUCACCCUCUCAGAUAUAAAAUCUAGCUUGGAAUAAGAGUUAAAGAAAUAAACCCCUGAGCAUAAUCCCUGUUUGUUGACCUUUUUUGGUUCAUAGACCUAGAGAAUGUCAGAGCUAGAAGAAGCUUUGGAGAUUAUCUAGUCUAACUUUUUUUUUUUUUAAGUAAUGAGGGAAACUGGAAUCCAAGGAACAUUUGGGACCUACUUAAGAUAACACUGCAAGUCAAUGCUAGAGUUGUAAACUAAAACUCCUUUUUAUACAGCACAGUGCCUAUUAAGCACAUAGGUGCUUAAUAAAUGUAUAUUGACUGAUACUACCUCAGGCAACUACUCACUUUUCCCUUUCUGGCUCUCAGUUUCCCCAUCUAUAAACUGAAGGGGUCACUGCCGCCUCAUUGAAUGUAGGCUGUACAAAAUGGAGGUAAGGAAGACACUCAGUCAAAUUUCUGACACCUCUGGAGGAAAUCUUAAGCAUGAAGCAGAGUAAGUCUCCUGUGAUGGGGAACUUCUUCCCUUUUAGGGGAGCUGUUUUCAUUGUCUGGAAACUCUGUUGAGGCUGAGCCAUAUCAUACAGGUGCCAUUUUGAAUGUUGCUUUAGCCUCCCACUGACCUCUCUUUCUCAUCAUAGAAACCCUGAACCUCCUUCAACAGCACUUCAAAGAAGAGGAAAACAAAUUCCAGAGACAACAGGCUAUGUCUCAGGACUGCAUCCAGAGGAUAACAGAUCUGAAUUCUAAGAUUCAGGAAGAGAAACUAAGAAGGAGGAAGCAGAGGUAAAGCCUCCUAUUUCAGUUUUAUGCUGGCAUUCAAUACCCUCUGAAUUCAGUUGCGAAUUGGAUUU
rnacentral:lncRNA from 1 species